rnacentral:rRNA from 1 species
GGGAACGUACCCUUCGGUUCGGAAUAACUCAGGGAAACUUGAGCUAAUACCGGAUACGCCCUUUUGGGGAAAGGUUUACUGCCGAAGGAUCGGCCUGCGUCUGAUUAGCUUGUUGGUGGGGUAACGGCCUACCAAGGCGACGAUCAGUAGCUGGUCUGAGAGGAUGAUCAGCCACACUGGGACUGAGACACGGCCCAGACUCCUACGGGAGGCAGCAGUGGGGAAUAUUGGACAAUGGGCGCAAGCCUGAUCCAGCCAUGCCGCGUGAGUGAUGAAGGCCUUAGGGUUGUAAAGCUCUUUUGUCCGGGACGAUAAUGACGGUACCGGAAGAAUAAGCCCCGGCUAACUUCGUGCCAGCAGCCGCGGUAAUACGAAGGGGGCUAGCGUUGCUCGGAAUCACUGGGCGUAAAGGGCGCGUAGGCGGCCGAUUAAGUCGGGGGUGAAAGCCUGUGGCUCAACCACAGAAUUGCCUUCGAUACUGGUUGGCUUGAGACCGGAAGAGGACAGCGGAACUGCGAGU